UACCUGAUUCAGCGGCGGACGGGUGAGUAAUGCCUAGGAAUCUGCCCGAUAGUGGGGGACAACGUUUCGAAAGGAACGCUAAUACCGCAUACGUCCUACGGGAGAAAGUGGGGGAUCUUCGGACCUCACGCUAUCGGAUGAGCCUAGGUCGGAUUAGCUAGUUGGUGAGGUAAUGGCUCACCAAGGCGACGAUCCGUAACUGGUCUGAGAGGAUGAUCAGUCACACUGGAACUGAGACACGGUCCAGACUCCUACGGGAGGCAGCAGUGGGGAAUAUUGGACAAUGGGCGAAAGCCUGAUCCAGCCAUGCCGCGUGUGUGAAGAAGGUCUUCGGAUUGUAAAGCACUUUAAGUUGGGAGGAAGGGCAGUAAGCUAAUACCUUGCUGUUUUGACGUUACCAACAGAAUAAGCACCGGCUAACUUCGUGCCAGCAGCCGCGGUAAUACGAAGGGUGCAAGCGUUAAUCGGAAUUACUGGGCGUAAAGCGCGCGUAGGUGGUUCAGCAAGUUGGAUGUGAAAUCCCCGGGCUCAACCUGGGAACUGCAUCCAAAACUACUGAGCUAGAGUACAGUAGAGGGUGGUGGAAUUUCCUGUGUAGCG
rnacentral:rRNA from 1 species